rnacentral:rRNA from 1 species
GACGAACGCUGGCGGCGUGCCUAAUACAUGCAAGUUGAGCGCUGAGGGCUGGUACUUGUACCAACUGGGUGAGCAGCGCACGGGUGAGUCACGCGUGGGACAUCUGCCUUUGAGCGGGGUACCACAUUUGGAAACGAACGCUAAUACCGCAUAAAAACUUUAUACACAAGUUUUAUGUUUGAAAGACGCAAUUGCAUCACUCAAAGAUGAUCCCGCGUUGUAUUAGCUAGUUGGUGAGGUAAAGGCUCACCAAGGCGAUGAUACAUAGCCGACCUGAGAGGGUGAGCGGCCACAUUGAGAGGGUGACACGGCCCAAACGCCUACGGGAGGCAGCAGGAGGGAAUCGGCGGCAAGGGACGAAAGUCUGAGCGAGCAACGCCGCGGCAGUGAAGAAGGAUUUCGGAUCGGAAAACACUGUUGGUAGGGAAGAACGUGGGUGAGAGUGGAAAGCUCAGCGAGUGACGGUAACUACCCAGAAAGGAACGGCUAACUACGUG